rnacentral:rRNA from 1 species
CGGCAUCAGCUCAAAUUUGAAAUCUGGCUCUUUCAGGGUCCGAGUUGUAAUUUGCAGAGGGAGCUUUCGAGUUGGCAGCGGUCUAAGUUCCUUGGAACAGGACGUCACAGAGGGUGAGAAUCCCGUACGUGCCCGGUGGCCGCGCCCGUGUGAAGCUCUUUCGAC